UUACCUUCUAUUUUCUUUUUCUUCCCAAGGUGUGUACUUCAGGGUUUAGGACCUAAUAAAUUAGCAGAGGUGUACGUGCCAACACUCUUCGUUGCCAUCUUUCUAUCUUUGACAAUAGUAAGUUUGAAACUUACUUUACAGAAACCUGGUCCUAAAUAUAAAAAAUACUAAGCAGUUUCAGCUUGUGGAAGACAGAAUUAUACUUGGUUUUUACCAAUUUACUAUGUGGCAUAUGACAAGAAACUUUACCUAGAAUAAUACUGAAUCCCUGGGAUUUUUUUAUUUGAGACAGAGCAUCACUCUGUCACACAGGCUAGAGUGCAAUGGUACAAUCUCGGCUCACUGCAGCCUCCACUUCCCCCAGUUCUCGUGCCUCAGCGUCCCGAGAGGCUGAGGUGGAAGUAUCACUUGAGCCCAGGAUUUCAAGGUUGCAGUAAGUUAUGAUCAUGCCACUGCACUCCAGCCUGGGCAACAGAGU
rnacentral:lncRNA from 1 species